rnacentral:lncRNA from 10 species
UGCAGUAGGAGAGUGACCAGUAUAAACUGAGCUCAAUUCUAAGCAAGACAAGGGAAAUAAGGCUGCAAAGGGAGAGCAAAGAGGGAGCUGUCAGGAAGUAUGAAAGCAGGAACCAAAAGAAAGUAGGGGGCUACAGAGAAAUUGCACAAGAAAAAUUACAGAAAGAGAACUAGACUAUACUGCCUGUUGCCUGCAAUGAUAAAACGAAGAAAUAUUGUUCUGGGUUCUUAAAUGAAAACGCACUUUAUUGAGACUUGACUCAAGAAUUACAGAUAAAGAGAUGAAAAGAAAUACCUCCUGCCUCAGCCAUGAAGCCUUCACUGUAGAAACAACACAUGUGCUGACUGUCCCCUGGAACGGCCUCUCUCUUCAGGCCAACACAGUCCACUUUGGUUCUGCCAACCUGCUGACCAACCCCAACAGAUGGAAGGAAGGAAGAGAAAGCCGAGGUGCAGAUGACAUGGCUUAUGCAAUAUUUUUAUUGUGCCAGUAUUCAAAUGUAUUACAUUGAUUUGUUCUGACUGACAAUAAUGUGGAUGCUUUGAUAUCAGUGCGUUGGGUAUUAUCUUCAUUUUACAAAAGAGAAAAACAGACACUCAGACUAACCAAGUGACCUGGCCAAGGUCCCACUGUCACUCUUGACUAUGAAGUCAAAAUCCUUUACAGGGUUUAUCAGUCAGUGCCCUAGCAGGACACAGACAGCGUACUGAAAUUAGGAUAAUGUCAGGAGGGACUACUUAAAAUGGUGUGGAGAGUGUAGACGAACCACAAGGUAAAAUUCCUGUCCUUCUUAAGACUGGUGAGAGUGGAGCAGUUGCCACCAAUAGGCUGAUGAAAUAAGGGCAGAAAUGAUUACUCUGCGGGCUCCUAACCUUUUGUCACUCUGAUGAACUCCAAAGACCCUAUCUCAAGGGAAUGUCUUUAAAUGAAUUUAAUAAAAUACUAAUUACAGGGGGAGGAGCCAAGAUGGCCGAAUAGGAACAGCUCCGGUCU